UUGAUAAACAGUCAAAAACAAAUUAUCCCAUGAUUUUCAAGGCAAACUUCAUGUCUAGCAGUAGAUGCUACCUAAAGCUUUCUAAUAUUAGUUAAAAUAACUGUGUCAAUCCAAACAGUCAAGUAAACUUCUAAAUUAAGCACAUUUCUAAAUUUGAUACUACAACUAGAUAAUAUCCAAGUCCUUACACUAUCAUAUUUUGGGUGUCCCCUAUUUUGUUCUUAUUUUUCUUGUUUUCCCUUCCUUUUUGUCCAUCAUCAAUUGGCAGUGUCAGUAUUGCAGAAAAGACGCUAUAAAUAAAAAUCACUAACAACGCUACUCACACUUCUCCAGUCAACACAAAAAGACAAGUAAAGAACUUAAAACUGAAUUCACAAAAUUACAAUUCUCUUCAAUUCACAUCAACUUCAACUUCAGUAUCAUUAUCAAUUCACAAAAUUACAACUUAACUGCGACCCACUUCAUACUUUAACUUCAGGGUAACCAAAAUCUCCACCCCACACACCAAUUUUCAAGAAACCACACACAACUCAUCCUAUAAACCAAUGAAAGUUACAACAGAACAAAUGCAAUUUCAUCUAAUUUGGUGCAGGUGGGCAAUGUCAGUAUAGC